GGGGCUUUGCAGGCGGGAGAACCUGGGUUCAGCCCCUUCCUAGCCAGACACUUAAACUGGGAUAAAGACACCGAUUUAGCCAGACUGUCAUGGGGGUUAAAUGAGAAAGUGUGGUUGCAUGCAGCCUGAACUAGCAGGCGCCAGAAGUAACAACUCGGGGCCCAUGGCUCUCCCUUUGGGGAUGGCAGCCCGGCUGUGUGGACCCCCCUGCCAGCUGCACCACGCGGCACCUGGGUACCAGAGACCCCCUACUUGCCGCUCUCUGGGCUCCCUUGCCAGGUUAAGUCGUGUCCAUGGGGAAGAUUUCAAAGCAGCCAGGAUGUGAUCUGUGAUGAGUGGCUUCUCUCCAGCCCCACCCCAGUCUCCUGACUCUCCGUUGGAGGAACUGAUGCCAUCAGUGUGUCACGUGGCCAGCCUUCCUCCGCCGGCUUCGAGAGAACGAGGGCUUGAGGCGUGGUGCAUGGAAGGAAUUAGCUUCUCUCCUCUGCAUCCCGAGUGGUACCGGUUAUGAACCAUCCUUCGGUGAACUGAGCCUUUGUCCCUUGUGUCAUUUUCCGCAUUCUGUGCCAGAUCCUGACCCCCAGCUGGUCGGUUAAACCAGCCCUUCCAUACCUCUCUUUCCCCUUCCUCUAUCUCGGAGAGGGCGCAUUGUUAGCGUGCACACCUGCCUCUGGGUUCCGGCUGUGUGGUACCCCACGGUGGGUGCGUGUAACUCAUAAUGUGCCUCCUCUGACGGGCAUGCAGUUCGCUCGAGUCUUUUGCGUGUGUGCUUCCAUG
rnacentral:lncRNA from 1 species